UUUUUUCUCCUAACAAGAAGAAUUCCUCUCUCUUUCUGCUUUAUACAAUUUCUUUUUCUCCUUUCAGACAGUAGGUGAAAACAUAUUAUAAAAAAUAUUAAUCAUCAUCGCCUUACUCUUUUAUCUUUUAUUAUUUUUUUAUAUUCUUCUUAAUUAUUUACUGGGUGUUGAAAGAAUCUCCAUCAACCUCCUUCACGAUCGUGGUCACUAGAGGAGAAAUUCCGAUCAUACCUGCAUGUAAAGGAUAGAAAUACACCUUAAGGCGGUAACACACGUUUCUUAAAAGAUCAAAUCUUUUAUUUGAAUAUUUGCGUUUAUCUGUAAGUUCAAGCUUAUCUUUUAGUUAGAUUUUGAUUAUAAUCAGAUUUAGAUAUUAGCUUUCUAUCUU
rnacentral:lncRNA from 1 species